rnacentral:rRNA from 1 species
GAUGAACGCUGGCGGCGUGCCUAAUACAUGCAAGUCGAGCGAACGGACGAGAAGCUUGCUUCUCUGAUGUUAGCGGCGGACGGGUGAGUAACACGUGGAUAACCUACCUAUAAGACUGGGAUAACUUCGGGAAACCGGAGCUAAUACCGGAUAAUAUUUUGAACCGCAUGGUUCAAAAGUGAAAGACGGUCUUGCUGUCACUUAUAGAUGGAUCCGCGCUGCAUUAGCUAGUUGGUAAGGUAACGGCUUACCAAGGCAACGAUGCAUAGCCGACCAGAGAGGGUGAUCGGCCACACUGGAACUGAGACACGGUCCAGACUCCUACGGGAGGCAGCAGUAGGGAAUCUUCCGCAAUGGGCGAAAGCCUGACGGAGCAACGCCGCGUGAGUGAUGAAGGUCUUCGGAUCGUAAAACUCUGUUAUUAGGGAAGAACAUAUGUGUAAGUAACUGUGCACAUCUUGACGGUACCUAAUCAGAAAGCCACGGCUAACUACGUGCCAGCAGCCGCGGUAAUACGUAGGUGGCAAGCGUUAUCCGGAAUUAUUGGGCGUAAAGCGCGCGUAGGCGGUUUUUUAAGUCUGAUGUGAAAGCCCACGGCUCAACCGUGGAGGGUCAUUGGAAACUGGAAAACUUGAGUGCAGAAGAGGAAAGUGGAAUUCCAUGUGUAGCGGUGAAAUGCGCAGAGAUAUGGAGGAACACCAGUGGCGAAGGCGACUUUCUGGUCUGUAACUGACGCUGAUGUGCGAAAGCGUGGGGAUCAAACAGGAUUAGAUACCCUGGUAGUCCACGCCGUAAACGAUGAGUGCUAAGUGUUAGGGGGUUUCCGCCCCUUAGUGCUGCAGCUAACGCAUUAAGCACUCCGCCUGGGGAGUACGACCGCAAGGUUGAAACUCAAAGGAAUUGACGGGGACCCGCACAAGCGGUGGAGCAUGUGGUUUAAUUCGAAGCAACGCGAAGAACCUUACCAAAUCUUGACAUCCUUUGACAACUCUAGAGAUAGAGCCUUCCCCUUCGGGGGACAAAGUGACAGGUGGUGCAUGGUUGUCGUCAGCUCGUGUCGUGAGAUGUUGGGUUAAGUCCCGCAACGAGCGCAACCCUUAAGCUUAGUUGCCAUCAUUAAGUUGGGCACUCUAAGUUGACUGCCGGUGACAAACCGGAGGAAGGUGGGGAUGACGUCAAAUCAUCAUGCCCCUUAUGAUUUGGGCUACACACGUGCUACAAUGGACAAUACAAAGGGCAGCGAAACCGCGAGGUCAAGCAAAUCCCAUAAAGUUGUUCUCAGUUCGGAUUGUAGUCUGCAACUCGACUACAUGAAGCUGGAAUCGCUAGUAAUCGUAGAUCAGCAUGCUACGGUGAAUACGUUCCCGGGUCU